rnacentral:rRNA from 1 species
AGAGUUUGAUCCUGGCUCAGAGCGAACGCUGGCGGCGUGCUUAACACAUGCAAGUCGAACGCGCAGCAUUCUGUAGCAAUACAGGGUGUGGGCGCGUGGCGAACGGGUGCGUAACACGUGGAUAACCUUCCUUCAGGUGGGGAACAACCCAGUGAAAAUUGGGCUAAUACCGCAUAACAUGACGAUGCCACAUGGUGUUGUCUUCAAAGCCGCAAGGCGCCAGAAGAGGGAUCCGCGGCCGAUUAGCUUGUUGGCGAGGUAAUGGCUCACCAAGGCUUUGAUCGGUAGCCGGACUGAGAGGUUGGCCGGCCACACUGGAACUGAGACACGGUCCAGACUCCUACGGGAGGCAGCAGUGGGGAAUCUUGCACAAUGGACGAAAGUCUGAUGCAGCAACGCCGCGUGGGGGAUGAAGCUUUUCGGAGUGUAAACCCCUUUCGACCCGGAAGAAUGCCCGCAAGGGUUUGACGGUACGGGUAUAAGAAGCCCCGGCUAACUACGUGCCAGCAGCCGCGGUAAUACGUAGGGGGCCAGCGUUGCUCGGAAUUACUGGGCGUAAAGGGUCCGUAGGCGGUGUGGCAAGUCGGGAGUGAAAUCUCUGGGCUUAACCCAGAGGCUGCUUCCGAAACUGCCAUGCUAGAGUGUGAGAGAGACGAGUGGAAUUACGGGUGUAGCGGUGAAAUGCAUAGAUAUCCGUAGGAACAUCCCGAGGCGAAGGCUGCUCGCUGGAUCACAACUGACGCUGAGGGACGAAAGCUAGGGGAGCAAACAGGAUUAGAUACCCUGGUAGUCCUAGCCCUAAACAUCAGGACUUGGGGUGUGCCCUGUACGGGGCACGUCCCGUAGCUAAGU